AUCAUGAGUUCACAUGUCCGCAUGAUUAAAGGUAUUUUCCGGUAGACGAUGGGGAUGCGUUCCAUUAGAUAGUAGGCGGGGUAACGGCCCACCUAGUCAACGAUGGAUAGGGGUUCUGAGAGGAAGGUCCCCCACAUUGGAACUGAGACACGGUCCAAACUCCUACGGGAGGCAGCAGUGAGGAAUAUUGGUCAAUGGGCGAUGGCCUGAACCAGCCAAGUAGCGUGAAGGAUGACUGCCCUAUGGGUUGUAAACUUCUUUUAUAAAGGAAUAAAGCCGGGUAUGCAUACCCGUUUGCAUGUACUUUAUGAAUAAGGAUCGGCUAACUCCGUGCCAGCAGCCGCGGUAAUACGGAGGAUCCGAGCGUUAUCCGGAUUUAUUGGGUUUAAAGGGAGCGUAGAUGGAUGUUUAAGUCAGUUGUGAAAGUUUGCGGCUCAACCGUAAAAUUGCAGUUGAUACUGGAUGUCUUGAGUGCAGUUGAGGCAGGCGGAAUUCGUGGUGUAGCGGUGAAAUGCUCAGAUAUCACGAAGAACUCCGAUUG
rnacentral:rRNA from 1 species